UUAAGCGACUAAGCGUACACGGUGGAUGCCCUGGCAGUCAGAGGCGAUGAAGGGCGUGCUAAUCUGCGAUAAGCGCCGGUAAGGUGAUAUGAACCGUUAUAACCGGCGAUACCCGAAUGGGGAAACCCAGUGUGAUUCGUCACACUAUCAUUAACUGAAUCCAUAGGUUAAUGAGGCGAACCGGGGGAACUGAAACAUCUAAGUACCCCGAGGAAAAGAAAUCAACCGAGAUUCCCCCAGUAGCGGCGAGCGAACGGGGAGGAGCCCAGAGCCUGAAUCAGCAUGUGUGUUAGUGGAAGCGUCUGGAAAGGCGCGCGAUACAGGGUGACAGCCCCGUACACAAAAGCGCAUGUGCUGUGAGCUCGAUGAGUAGGGCGGGACACGUGGUAUCCUGUCUGAAUAUGGGGGGACCAUCCUCCAAGGCUAAAUACUCCUGACUGACCGAUAGUGAACCAGUACCGUGAGGGAAAGGCGAAAAGAACCCCGGCGAGGGGAGUGAAAAAGAACCUGAAACCGUGUACGUACAAGCAGUGGGAGCACAGGUUUACCUGUGUGACUGCGUACCUUUUGUAUAAUGGGUCAGCGACUUAUAUUCUGUAGCAAGGUUAACCGAAUAGGGGAGCCGGAGGGAAACCGAGUCUUAAUUGGGCGUUAAGUUGCAGGGUAUAGACCCGAAACCCGGUGAUCUAGCCAUGGGCAGGUUGAAGGUUGGGUAACACUAACUGGAGGACCGAACCGACUAAUGUUGAAAAAUUAGCGGAUGACCUGUGGCUGGGGGUGAAAGGCCAAUCAAACCGGGAGAUAGCUGGUUCUCCCCGAAAGCUAUUUAGGUAGCGCCUCGUGAAUUCAUCUCCGGGGGUAGAGCACUGUUUCGGCUAGGGGGCCAUCCCGGCUUACCAACCCGAUGCAAACUGCGAAUACCGGAGAAUGUUAUCACGGGAGACACACGGCGGGUGCUAACGUCCGUCGUGAAGAGGGAAACAACCCAGACCGCCAGCUAAGGUCCCAAAGUCAUGGUUAAGUGGGAAACGAUGUGGGAAGGCCCAGACAGCCAGGAUGUUGGCUUAGAAGCAGCCAUCAUUUAAAGAAAGCGUAAUAGCUCACUGGUCGAGUCGGCCUGCGCGGAAGAUGUAACGGGGCUAAACCAUGCACCGAAGCUGCGGCAGCGAACGUAUCACCCAAGACAACUUUACGGAGUUGACGAUUGACGGAGCGAAGCGACGUCAAAGCGUUCAUUAAAGUCGAGUUGGCUUAGGGAUACGUUCGUUGGGUAGGGGAGCGUUCUGUAAGCCUGUGAAGGUGUGUCGUGAGGCAUGCUGGAGGUAUCAGAAGUGCGAAUGCUGACAUAAGUAACGAUAAAGCGGGUGAAAAGCCCGCUCGCCGGAAGACCAAGGGUUCCUGUCCAACGUUAAUCGGGGCAGGGUGAGUCGACCCCUAAGGCGAGGCCGAAAGGCGUAGUCGAUGGGAAACGGGUUAAUAUUCCCGUACUUGGUGUUACUGCGAAGGGGGGACGGAGAAGGCUAUGUUGGCCGGGCGACGGUUGUCCCGGUUUAAGCGUGUAGGUGUGUGUUCCAGGUAAAUCCGGUUCACUUUAACACUGAGGCGUGACGACGAGGCACUACGGUGCUGAAGCAACAAAUGCCCUGCUUCCAGGAAAAGCCUCUAAGCAUCAGGUAACACGAAAUCGUACCCCAAACCGACACAGGUGGUCAGGUAGAGAAUACCAAGGCGCUUGAGAGAACUCGGGUGAAGGAACUAGGCAAAAUGGUGCCGUAACUUCGGGAGAAGGCACGCUGACACGUAGGUGAAGUGAUUUACUCAUGGAGCUGAAGUCAGUCGAAGAUACCAGCUGGCUGCAACUGUUUAUUAAAAACACAGCACUGUGCAAACACGAAAGUGGACGUAUACGGUGUGACGCCUGCCCGGUGCCGGAAGGUUAAUUGAUGGGGUCAGCGCAAGCGAAGCUCCUGAUCGAAGCCCCGGUAAACGGCGGCCGUAACUAUAACGGUCCUAAGGUAGCGAAAUUCCUUGUCGGGUAAGUUCCGACCUGCACGAAUGGCGUAAUGAUGGCCAGGCUGUCUCCACCCGAGACUCAGUGAAAUUGAACUCGCUGUGAAGAUGCAGUGUACCCGCGGCAAGACGGAAAGACCCCGUGAACCUUUACUAUAGCUUGACACUGAACAUUGAGCCUUGAUGUGUAGGAUAGGUGGGAGGCUUUGAAGUGUGGACGCCAGUCUGCAUGGAGCCGACCUUGAAAUACCACCCUUUAAUGUUUGAUGUUCUAACGUGGACCCGUAAUCCGGGUUGCGGACAGUGUCUGGUGGGUAGUUUGACUGGGGCGGUCUCCUCCUAAAGAGUAACGGAGGAGCACGAAGGUUGGCUAAUCCUGGUCGGACAUCAGGAGGUUAGUGCAAUGGCAUAAGCCAGCUUGACUGCGAGCGUGACGGCGCGAGCAGGUGCGAAAGCAGGUCAUAGUGAUCCGGUGGUUCUGAAUGGAAGGGCCAUCGCUCAACGGAUAAAAGGUACUCCGGGGAUAACAGGCUGAUACCGCCCAAGAGUUCAUAUCGACGGCGGUGUUUGGCACCUCGAUGUCGGCUCAUCACAUCCUGGGGCUGAAGUAGGUCCCAAGGGUAUGGCUGUUCGCCAUUUAAAGUGGUACGCGAGCUGGGUUUAGAACGUCGUGAGACAGUUCGGUCCCUAUCUGCCGUGGGCGCUGGAGAACUGAGGGGGGCUGCUCCUAGUACGAGAGGACCGGAGUGGACGCAUCACUGGUGUUCGGGUUGUCAUGCCAAUGGCACUGCCCGGUAGCUAAAUGCGGAAGAGAUAAGUGCUGAAAGCAUCUAAGCACGAAACUUGCCCCGAGAUGAGUUCUCCCUGAGACUUAGAGUCUCCUGAAGGAACGUUGAAGACGACGACGUUGAUAGGCCGGGUGUGUAAGCGCAGCGAUGCGUUGAGCUAACCGGUACUAAUGAACCGUGAGGCUUAACCU
rnacentral:rRNA from 1 species